rnacentral:rRNA from 1 species
CCGGCGCACGGUGAGUAACGCGUAUGCAACUUACCUAUCAGAGGGGAUAACCCGGCGAAAGUCGGACUAAUACCGCAUAAAGCAGGGAUCCCGCAUGGGAAUAUUUGCUAAAGAUUCAUCGCUGAUAGAUAGGCAUGCGUUCCAUUAGGCAGUUGGCGGGGUAACGGCCCACCAAACCGACGAUGGAUAGGGGUUCUGAGAGGAAGGUCCCCCACAUUGGUACUGAGACACGGACCAA